AUGAUGAUGGUGCAGCUGCAGCAGUCUCUUUGGGAAGAACAUGCCACGCUGUGAGACAGACACACGAUCACAUAAACCUUUCUGCGGACCACCUGAAUGGAGCUCGUGGACCAGUGGUGGUCCAUGGAUCACAGUUUGAGAACCUCUGAUCUCGAAGAUACAACACUAUGAAGAUUCUGGAGAGCAGUGAUCCUCAUUGUGUACCUUCCCCGGGCUGUGAAUUGUUUACUGCGCUUCUGGAUAGUUAAAUCUCGGAAUUUAAUAAGGGACUCAAACAAGAUGGAACAAAAUCAGACUUCGGUGCACCUCAGUCCACUUUCAUGCCUGAUUGGUGGACUAGAAUAUUGUCUUUUGUGAAAAAAAAAUCACCUUGUCAAACAAUUUAAAUGGGGAUGUUUCAGCAUGUCUUAACCUACAUGGUCAUUGAUCAGAGUGCAAAUAUGUGUAAACAGCAAGACUAGAAAUUAAGAACCCCUAACUGCUGAGUAUGAUACCAACAGCCUUCU